rnacentral:rRNA from 1 species
GACGAACGCUGGCGGCGUGCUUAACACAUGCAAGUCGAACGAUGAUGCCCAGCUUGCUGGGCGGAUUAGUGGCGAACGGGUGAGUAACACGUGAGUAACCUGCCCUUGACUUCGGGAUAACUCCGGGAAACCGGGGCUAAUACCGGAUAUGAGCCGUCCUCGCAUGGGGGUGGUUGGAAAGUUUUUCGGUCAGGGAUGGGCUCGCGGCCUAUCAGCUUGUUGGUGGGGUGAUGGCCUACCAAGGCGACGACGGGUAGCCGGCCUGAGAGGGCGACCGGCCACACUGGGACUGAGACACGGCCCAGACUCCUACGGGAGGCAGCAGUGGGGAAUAUUGCACAAUGGGCGAAAGCCUGAUGCAGCGACGCCGCGUGAGGGAUGAAGGCCUUCGGGUUGUAAACCUCUUUCAGCAGGGAAGAAGCGCAAGUGACGGUACCUGCAGAAGAAGCGCCGGCUAACUACGUGCCAGCAGCCGCGGUAAUACGUAGGGCGCAAGCGUUGUCCGGAAUUAUUGGGCGUAAAGAGCUCGUAGGCGGUUUGUCGCGUCUGGUGUGAAAACUCGAGGCUCAACCUCGAGCUUGCAUCGGGUACGGGCAGACUAGAGUGCGGUAGGGGAGACUGGAAUUCCUGGUGUAGCGGUGGAAUGCGCAGAUAUCAGUAGGAACACCGAUGGCGAAGGCAGGUCUCUGGGCCGCAACUGACGCUGAGGAGCGAAAGCAUGGGGAGCGAACAGG